UGUGGUUAAAAAGCUCGUAGUUGGAUCUCAACAGCCUUGAAGCGGUUAACUUUGUAGUUUUACUGCUUUAUAGGCUGUGCUUUUGCUGGAGGUUUAGGGGUGCUCUUGAUCGAGUGUCUCUGGAUGCCAGCAGGUUUACUUUGAAAAAAUUAGAGUGCUCAAAGCAGGCUAAAAUGCCUGAAUAUUCGUGCAUGGAAUAAUAGAAUAGGAUGUCGAUCCUAUUUUGUUGGUUUUCGGGACUCGACAUAAUGAUAAAUAGGGACAGUCGGGGGCAUUUGUAUUCAAACGACAGAGGUGAAAUUCUUGGACCGUUUGAAGACAAACUACUGCGAAAGCAUUUGCCAAGAAUGUUUUCAUUAAUCAAGAACGAAAGUUAGAGGUUCGAAGGCGAUUAGAUACCGCCCUAGUUCUAACCAUAAACGAUGCCAGCUAGCGAUCUGCCUGCGUUUUUACUGUAGACUGGGCAGGAAGCUUCCGGGAAACCAAAGCAUUUGGGUUCCAGGGGAAGUAUGGUUGCAAAGCUGAAACUUAAAGGAAUUGACGGAAGGGCACCACCAGGAGUGGAGCCUGUGGCUUAAUUUGACUCAACACGGGAAAUCUCACCAGGCCCGGACACUGGAAGGAUUGACAGAU
rnacentral:rRNA from 1 species